AAGAGUUUGGGGAAGAACCACAUAUGGGUGUGAUGGUCAAGUUUCCAUGUACUUUUGGCCAUAUAGCGUAUAAUCAAUGGAAAGCAGCCAAGUUCUGAGUUACAAGUCGGGUGGGUUUUUAUUGUCAUUCCUCUAUGUAACUUGUAUACACUGGAACGAAAUGGCGUUUCUUCAGGACCAUGGUGCAACAUGGAACAGUACGCAAGACUAUAUAAAGUGCAAAUACACAACAGUGUGAGAUGAGUGCAAAACAAUUAAUACACAGGACAGUAAAUACACAGAAAAUGGACUGUAAACUGUAAGCUAUUGUGUAAAGUAGCAGCACAAGUAUAGCAGCAAUACUGGAGGCAAAAUUGAGUUCCACAGUAUAAAGAUGAAGCUAUGUAAAGUGCAGUAUGCAGUAGUACUGAGUCUUAAUGGGUUAGUGCAUGUACAGUGGUAUGAGUCUUACUGGGUUAGUGUAUGUACAGUGGUAUGAGUCUUACUGGGUUAGUGUAUGUACAGUGGUAUGAGUCUUACUGGGUUAUGUAUGUACAGUGGUAUGAGUCUUACUGGGUUAGUGUAUGUACAGUGGUAUGAGUCUUACUGGUUUAGGUGUUCAACUAGCCCAGGUGAGUGUUGGGUGUUGAGUAAUCUGACUGCCUCAGGGAAGAAACUGUUGCAGAGUCUGCUGGUGGAGGCAGGGAUGCUCCUGUACCUUCUGCCAGUGUGAAGAGUCCAUGAGACGGGUGAGAGGGGUCGUCCGCAAUAGUGGUGGCUUUGCAGAUGCAGUGGUUUUUGAAGGAGGUCUCGAUGAUGGGUAGAGAGCCCCCGAUGCAGCACUAGAGACCCUCGCUGUUGGGUCUUGUGGUCAAAGUCUGUGCAGAUCCCAUACCACACAGUGAGACAGCUGGUCUGGACGCGCUCUAUCGUCCCUCACAAAUUUGUUAACAUUUACCUUUAAAAAUUUCGUACAUUACUAACAAUUUUGCAUGCACAUACUCUGUGUGAUGCUGGUCUCAUCUAGUGUAGUCUGCAUAUGAUGUAUUUUUUUCUUAGUGUAUUCCGAUCCCAGAUCCUUGUGGUACUGAUUUUCAGUCCUAGGUAAUCAUAGUGUAAUUAAUGCUCUAGGGCGUUGUUUCUUGCAGUAAAAUGGUGUUUGCUUUUCUGAGAUCUGGCUUUCUUUUGGAAGAUGAAAAUGUUGGUCUUGUCUCGAUUUUCAGCAGGCCCACAGUAUUGCUCCAGCAGGUCCAGGUGCCGUUGUAACCCAUGUUCAGGGGAUGACAUCAGACCCUGGUUGUACAGGAACUGCAGAUUUUUCUAGUAACACCAAUAACAUGUUAUUUUCAAUUCAAUUUUAUUUGUACAGCGCUUUUUCCAAUGGUCAUUGUCUCAAAGCAGCUUUACAGAAAUAUAUUUCUGUAAAAUAUAUAUUGUAUCAGUGAUGUACGCACCCUGGAGGUGGAUUGAGGAAAGGUAGACGGUAAUUACUAACUAUCUUUCUUUUUUUUUUUCAUCCAUCCAUCCAUCUUCUACCGCUUACUCCUUCUUCAGGGUCACGGGGAACCUGGAGUCUAUCCCAGGGAGCAUCGGGCACAAGGCGGGGUACACCCUGGACAGGGUGCCAGUCCAUCGCAGGGCACAAUCACAUACACACUCACACACCCAUUCAUACACUACGGACAUUUUAGACACACCAAUCAGCCUACUAUGCAUGUCUUUGGACUGGGGGAGGAAACUGGAGUACCCGGAGGAAACCCCCGCAGCACGGGGAGAACUCUGCAAACUCCGCACACACAGGGCCCUGGCGGGAAUCAAACCCCGGACCCUGGAGGUGUGAGGCAA
ensembl:lncRNA